UUUCUAGACCCAGUGUGCAUCAGCAUAAAUCCUGGAGUCUAAAUAUAUUCCAUAACUAAUUACUGGCAUAAGUAUCUCUUGACUAUGACAAGCAUCGAAUAGAGCUUCUGAACUGAAUUAUUGAGUCAAUAGAUUUCAGGUACAUGUAAUGAAUGUAUUGUGGUCAUGUGUGCUCUCUAUAACUUGGUUUAACAUUUCUUUUUGACUGAAAUGGAUUUCUGGAAAAUGUAACAGUUUUUGCGAUAUCUUAAUGCCGGAAAUUUUUUGAUGUGUAUCAGAUUCAAACUGUAAACAAAGAGAGGCUAGAAGAAUUGAAUAAGAAACUUGAGUUCAAUUAGAUUAAUGAAUACAAAGUCGUAAAGCUACAAAGGACCUCAGAAAUUAUGUUAUUUGCUGAUGAGAAGUCCGUCCCACUCCUUCCCUUGCAGCCCACUCAUGCAUGUGACUAGCUGAAGAACGCUUCUGAAGUGAAAGCCCAGGAUAAAAUGACGAGAAGCUGAGGAAAAAUGAGCAUUGUUGUGGGUGAAAUGAUGCCCCCCACAAAUAUAUCCAUGUCAACCCCUAGAACGUGUCCCAGACUCUGUGACCAUAUAAUACUGAAGAUCACUUACCAUAAAUGCUGAAAACUUCUAGAGCAGUGGGAAUUUGAAGCUAGCAUGUAGCAAAAGAAAGGAUUCUGGGUGUAAACAGUCUCAGACACAUGGAUAUAAAGUCUUUGAAUUCCAAAAGGGUAGAGCACGUCCAUGAAGAAGUGACAGGUGUAUUGAUAGGCUAUGGGAGGCCAGGUUCACUUUGGGGAAGGCAUAGGAGAGGAGGUGAGGGACAGGUAGGGACAGACUGGGGACCCAUCAUCAUCCCCACUCAUCAUCCUGUCCUCCCACGCCAAAUGUUCCAGAUGCCCUUCUAAAUUUCUCAUAUAGCGCAACUUCUAGGGGGCCAACAAUUGAAUGGAUUUUAUAAAUAUUUGACUAAACAAUUCUUAACAUUUGGAGAUUCUAUGAUUUCUCUUCAUCUCAGAAUUUUCAAAACAUCCUAUAAAACCAUUCUAUGACCAAUGGAAAAUAAAGUAAAACGGAUGUU